rnacentral:rRNA from 1 species
GACGAACGCUGGCGGCGUGCUUAACACAUGCAAGUCGAACGGAAAGGCCCCUUUGGGGGUACUCGAGUGGCGAACGGGUGAGUAACACGUGAGUAACCUGCCCUUGACUUCGGGAUAACUUUAGGAAACUGGGGCUAAUACCGGAUAGGAAUCCUUGCUGCAUGGUGGGGGUUGGAAAGCUUCGGCGGUUUUGGAUGGACUCGCGGCUUAUCAGCUUGUUGGUGGGGUAGUGGCUUACCAAGGCUUGGACGGGUAGCCGGCCUGAGAGGGCGACCGGCCACAUUGAGACCGAGAGACGGCCCAGGCUCCUACGGGUGGCAGCAGUGGGGAAGACUGCACAAUGGGCGGAAGCCUGAUGCAGCAACGCCGCGGGCGGGAUGACGGCCUUCGGGUUGUAAACCGCUUUCAGCAGGGGCGAAGCUUGUGGUGACGGUACCUGCAGAAGAAGCACCGGCUAACUACGUG